GCAUAGGGUUUGUGACCCUAUUCACCACAUGCACACACAUGCAUGCAUGCACACACACACACACGCAUACAUACACUUAUUAUAUAUACAUUGGUUGGGUUUUUUUUUGUUGUUAUCAUGCCUUUCAAAACAAACCAGUCACUGAUCACGAAAAAGAUAGAGAAGGUGAGAGAGAAAGAGAGAGAGAGAGAGUGUGUGUAUGUGUGUGUGUAUUCAUAUAUAUAUAUAUAUAUAUAUAUAUAUAUAGAUCUGUAUUUAAAUGUACUACACUGCACUUGAUGCUGUCUGAGUUGACUUAUUGUCAAAAGUAAGCUAUAGCAUCUUUUGAGUUUUAUUUUUUCAUUAGAUAAUAAAAUAAAAUAAUAUUAACAAUAAUAAUAAUAAUUAAUAAUAAUA